AAACAUAUCUACGAAGAGACCAUUGGUGCCGGAAAUAUCUCUGUCUUUAGUAGUGUCCGCGAGGUAUAUUAAUUUAUAAAACAUGAGAUAUUAGUACCAUAUUGCCCGGGAAUCAAAAGAUUUUUGCAAGAUCGAUUCAAGAAACGGACUCUAUCUGGAAAAGGAAAACAAUAUCAAAGCUCCUCUGUGAGAAGUUGGCCAAGGAAAGCAUUCAGAAGAAAGUGGAGAUUCAUUGUUUUUACCAGAUCCAGUAGAUCACAGAAAGCAUCUAGUAGGGGAGGUCUACAGAUCGAAGCAUGCCAAAUGUGUAAAGAACAAGUUUCCAGGAUUAAGCCAGCCAGUAGAUGAGACUAUUAUAUCAAAAAUACAUUUACUUGUACACGAGGGCAGGACACAAAGCGUUGAUGAAACAAAAAGACAUUUCCGUCUGUUUGUAAAGGAUACUAUUUCACCAGGGAACACCAUCUCAGAAUUUAACAGAUGCUUUUACCCCGCCAAUAAGGAUGUAAGAAAUCACAUUUACAGGGCACCGAGAUUUUGCCAGGUAGUUUAGAACUGUGUGCAUUGGUUUUGGAAGAAUUUGGGCUGUUUAGGCUAAAAUCCAUUAUGAUUGGACAGAAUAUGAACACACACAUCCAAUACUUCAAAGAUAUUAUGUUUGUGGAGGCAGAGAUUUUGAUUGCAUCCACUGUUUAGAAUACAUCCUUAAGGGAAGCAGACUGCCGCCUUUACCCAAUGAUAUAAUGAUUAAUCAUAACUAUAUCUGUUUUGUACCAAAUAGAAAGAGCAUUGAUUCAGGUCAUUUUCAAAUCCACUGGCAUACAUUGUACUAUACAUGCAACCUUUUCAAACUUUACAUUUAAGAUUUUAUAAAGGAAAUAUCUUAAUGUUUCACAUGUUUACCUUUCACUGUGCUAUGUAAUUCAUUAUACCUGCCAUUAUGCCAGUCUUCCUGAACAUAAUUUGUUUUCUGCAAUUUCAUUGGCCAAGAGGCUUAAUCCUGGGUUAUCAGAUUGAGCAUUUAUAUUUAGUAUCCCAUUGAUUUUGUCAGCCCUAUAUAAGGAGCUGACUCAGAUUUACUCACUCUGCUAGGUUAAAGAACUCUAAGGUUUGUACUUUUCACAUGAAUUUCGUGUUCGCCUCUUAUCUUUUACAUAGAGUAGGAAAUGAACAUAACAUUGAGUUAGGGAACAAUUUAGAUUUUACAUUAUAAUAUGUAAAUACCUUAGCAGAGUCAAUUUACUUGGUUCAGGGUAGUAUCAGAUAUUACUUUUUCAAAGUUUAAGUGUUUAGGCUAUCUCAAUGUUUCUAUAGUUAGCCUUGUCCUAUGUUACUUUUAGAUGUAUGGAAGCCUUUUAGUGUUAUAACACUAUAUUUAUGCCCCCAUUCAAAGAAGAGGGGCAUAUUGGUUUGCACCUGUUGGUCGGUCGGUAGACCACAUGUUGUCCGCUUAAUAUCUUAAGAACCAUUCACUUGAUCGUAAUAUAUUUCAUAUGUGGGUUGGUUAUGAAAAGAAGAGGACCCCAAUUGUUUUUCUGGUCGAAAUGUCAAGGGUCAAUCUACUCUGGACAUAGGAAGACACUGCCUGCUCAAUAUCUUGAGAACCCUUUGCUUGACAGACAUCAAACUUGGUACACUGGUACAUCUCAAGGAGUAGAUUUGAGGUCACAUGGUCAAAAGUCAAGGGGUAAACUGGACAUAGUAAUAUAUUGUCUCUUAUGUUUUAAGAAUUAUUUGCUUGAUUGACACCAAACCUGGUACAGCAUAAGGAGUAGAUGACCCCUAUUGAUUUUUAGGUCACUUGGUCAAUCCACUCCUGACACAGGAAGAUAUUGUUUGCUCAAUAUUUCGAAUUGAUGACACUACUAUCAAUCAAAUUAUGCAUGUGUAUAACCCUUUUCAAUUUUGCACCAUGGGGGCUUAUAUGUUUUACAAACACCUCAUGUUUUAUAGUUUGUGAAAGAUUGUUAGGGUCAUAACUUUAGAUUUUCUUAUUAUGGUACUUGCCCGUCAGAGACUGGACAUAUUAUGGUAUGGUGUUGUCUGUCCGGACCUUGUAAGAUGGGAUACAGACUGAACCGUAAGCUCCAGAAUCUUACAACUUGGUACAUUUGAUCACCAUAAAAGGAAGAUGCUUAUUGUUUUUUAAGGUCAAGGUUGUAGGUUCACUUAAUAGGAAAACCUUGUUUGAGAAAAUUACAGAUUCUUGAACUGAGUAUUUUGAGGAAACAUUACAUAGAAAGUACAUGAUUUGUCAAAUUUCUCCCAAUAUUCAACUGAGAACCUUAUUCUGCAGAGUAUUUGUAUGGGUAUGGAAAAUGUGUAUGUGGCUAUGAUUUUGAUUUUUGUUUAAUUUUUUUUUUUUUUUUGAAAAUUACAGGUUUAACCGAGUCAGUUUUUGAGGAAAUAUAUAUGUAUUAAAUAAAUGACGGUUUGACCUUUUAACUCCUCUCACAGUUUUGAAACUAGGGUCUUUGUAAAUAACUUCUUUGGUGUUUUAGAAUAUUUACAGAUUGUUGAUCAUGGUAAAUUUUGGGGAAAUAUUUUCCGCAGAGCUCUAGUUGUCUAUCUACCGGCCUCCUGUCACUUUUAAGUUUAGGAGCUUUUAUUCAUGGAAAGAAAGUAUGUGACAGCCUGAUGAUGGCUGAUACUAUUUAAAGCCUUUUUAUACGCCCGUCUUAAGACGGGACGUAUUAUGGUAUGGCGUUCAUGUCCGUCCGUCUGUUAGCUUUUUCGUGUCCGACCCGUAACUUAAAUACUACAAGGCCUAGAAUCAUCAAACUUUGUCUGUAGAUGCAUCUUGGGUAGAAGGUGUGUCGCACAUUAAAACCAGGUCACUAUGACUUUUCAUUAAGAAGAUAUCCGUCUGUCCGUCCGUCUGUUAGCUUUUUCGUGUCUGACCCGUAACUUAAAUACUACAAGGCCUAGAAUCAUCAAACUUUGUCUGUAGAUACAUCUUGGGUAGAAGGUGUGUCGCACAUUAAAACCAGGUCACUGUGACUUUUCAUUAAGAAGAUAUGGCCAUAUAUGGCAAAAACUUGUCCGGCUCAUAACUUGAAAACUAUUAGGCCUAGAAUCACCAAAAUUGGUCAACUAAUGCAUCUUAGGUAGAAGGUGUGUCGCAUCCUACUUUAAGGUCACUGUGACAUUUAAUUAAGGUAAUAUAAAAAAAAAAUGUUUUAAUGGGUACAAUCUAUACUGUUAACAAUAUGUGACGGGCGUAUCAUGUGCCGUGGCGGUGCACUUUAUUCUAGAAAUGGCAUCAGAAAAACACCCUAUGUAACCUUUUCUGCUUAUACUCAUUUAUUUUUAUUGGAAAACUUAUUACUUGUUAUCAGCUACUCUAAAACAAUAUUGACUUGUGCUAUAAUAAAUUUGUAAACUUUA